rnacentral:guide_RNA from 1 species
UAAUAUCACAGUAUAAGUAAUCAGAUAGAUGGAUGAAAUUAUAAU